CCUUACCUUGUCCAUCAUACUUUGGAAGUGUUGACUGAUUAAAACAAUCAAUACUUAUUGAACACUGUGCUGUACUGGAAGGGUUGGUGAACAUCUAAAACAUUCCUUGCCUUCUUCAGGAAGUUAAGAUCUAAUGAGGGAGGUGAAGCAUAUACCUAAAUGACCCUACUCUAGCAUAGUUGGUGAUAGGCCUGCAGAAGGAUCCAGACAGUGAGUGGUACAGCUCUGGCUGGGGUGUUAGAGCAGAACCCAUGGAAAAGGGGGCAGGGGCCCUGACAAAUGGACAUAUUUUCCCUAAGAAAACAUGUGAGAGAGAAAAUACUAUGUAAGAAAAGCUUAACAAAGGGCCACAUAUGAGAUGUUAUGGGGUUGCAGUUUACAUGAAUUUGGGCAUGGGUGGGAUAUAAGGCAGGAAGAGUUGGUUGGAAAAAUUAUGGAGAGCUUUGUGAUAUUUCAGGAAGAAUAUGUAAUCACAAGAGUUUUUUGUGAUGAAUAUCUGUGUUCCGAAGAGCCAUUUGACUGAUUUGGGAAACAAGAAUCCAAUUACUCGUAAAGCUAUCUCAUUGAAAAAAAAAUGAAGCACAAAUAAGUAAUUUUUUUUUAUCAUUCCUUAAAAUUGAUCUCUUCUUUAUCAGGUCAUUUGUGCCACUGUACCAGAUACCACCCAAUUGUAGAAAGUAGAAAAACUUUCUGUGUGAGAAUGGCAGAAGAUCCAAAUAAGACAAGGCUGACAUUCCAAGGGGAGAGGACUACCUGGAUCAUUCCUGUGAACCUCAGUGAGCUUCUAGAGCUGAAAGCCAAUAUCCCUGAUGCACUCUUCAUCAUGGGGAACACUGCAGUGGGGACCCAGCAUUAAAUUUAGAGAUGAAUUCCGUCCAGUUUUCAUAUAUCUACUUAGGCUUCCAGAACUAUGUUUUAUGCACAGCACAGAUGAUGGUAUGUACCGUCUUUUUCAUUGGCUGUUGGUAGGCUAUUAAUAAUUAUAUGCACUGGGCUAAUUUGAGCACUUAAUAGAAUAUAUGACCUCCUAUAUGUGCCCUACUAUGUGUCCUCUAUGAGCUUUUUCAAACUGAAUUAUUCAGCUAUGUCACUGAAUACUGCAUUGUCAUAGGAGCCAUACAGUGGGAAGAUGUAGGUUGUUCCACAUAUAGAGAGAGACUGACUGAAUAAGGACACUUAAGAGAGUGGCUGGCCUGUAGGAAAAGUUCUUGCCAGAGUCAUAAAUUUGCUUAAGGCUCAUCCUAUACCCACACACAUUCACACACACACAAAAAUUCUGGGACACAAAAUUUGAAAAUUUAACUGUAACAACCUUAUUUCUCUUCAUAUUCUUUUCACAGUUUACCAAAUGCUUUCACAUCUUGUUUCUUUUGAUCCUCAUGACAGUCCUGGAAGGUAGACAUAGCAGGUGGUAGCCUUGGGAUCUCCGUUCUCAAUCAAAGGACUGAAGUAACUUCCCCAACUUUGCACAGCUAACACACAAUCAAGUCAGGACUAGAUUCCAGGGUUUCUUACUUUUAGUCAAGUUCUCCUUCCCACAAUGCACCAAAAUAAAGCUAUCUGAGAAACAUAUCCA
rnacentral:lncRNA from 1 species